UGGCUUAUAUGAGAUUGAGGCCAUCUCCCCCUAGUGAGGCACUUUUUGAAAAAAUAAAAUCGUGAGGCCCCAUACUAUGAGUUGGCUAAAGCAGACAAUAUCUUACGCACACGAGCAUAAAGAUCAAGCCAUCCGAUCCAUCCGAACCCUUAACCACAACAUUGGCAUCAUAUAUAUGAGAAAUACCUUCUGCCCUUGCACACAGAGUCCUUGAUUGGGGGGGCUACUAUUGUUGAAAGACGGCUCCUUUAAUCUUAUAUCGAUUGUGAGUCAAGAGGAACUCUGACUUAUAUGGAAUCGAAACUUUCUCUCUCCCAGUAAGACGUCUUUUAAAAAAUAAAAUCAUGAGGCCCAUGCAUAGAAUCCCCUUUGAUUGGGGGUGCUGCUGUUGUGGGUGAACGACCUCUUUAGCCCCACAUUGCUUGUGAGUCAAGGGAGACUCUGACUUAUAUGGGAUCGAGACCAUUUCUUCAACAAUGAGGCACCUUUUAAAGAGUAAAAUCGUGAGAUCCUGUGCCAUGAACCAGCUAAAGCAGACAAUACCUCAUGCGCGUGAAUACUGAGACCGAGCCAUCCAACACAUUCGAACCCUUAACCGCAACAUUGGCACCAAUAAUGGGGCCUGCCUCCUAUCCAUGCACAUAGCCUCCUUGACUGAGGGGCUACUAUUAGGGGAGGAUGGCACUUUUAAUCCCACAUUAGUUGUAAAUCAAGAGAGAUUCGAACUUAUAUGAAAUUGAAGCUUUUUCUUUCCUAAAAGUCAAAAUCAUGAGCUCCGUGCCAUGGGCUAGCCGCAGAAGACAAUACCUCACAUGGAUGAGUGCAGAAAAUUGAUCCAUCCCAUCUAUCCGAGCCAUGAGCUUUUGACCACAACAUUGGUGUCCAUCAUGAGACCCGCCUCCUGUCCAUGCACAUAGAGUCCCCCUUGACUAGAAGGGGCUACUGUUGUGAGAGGACGAUCUCUUUAGUUCUACAUUGAUUGUGAAUCAAGAGAGACUCUGACUUAUAUAGGAUCAAAACCAUCUCUCUCAGUGAGGUGCCUUUUAAAGGAUAAAACUGUGAAGCCUCAUGCC
rnacentral:lncRNA from 1 species